rnacentral:rRNA from 1 species
UACGUAGGGUGCGAGCGUUACUCGGAAUUACUGGGCGUAAAGCGUGCGCAGGCGGUUCGUUAAGUCAGCUGUGAAAGCCCCGGGCUCAACCUGGGAAUUGCGGUUGAAACUGGCGGACUAGAAUCUGGCAGAGGGGGGUGGAAUUCCACGUGUAGCAGUGAAAUGCGUAGAGAUGUGGAGGAACACCGAUGGCGAAGGCAGCCCCCUGGGCUGAGAUUGACGCUCAGGCACGAAAGCGUGGGGAGCAAACAGG